rnacentral:rRNA from 1 species
AGAACGAACGCUGGCGGCAUGCCUAACACAUGCAAGUCGAACGAGACCGCUGACUUCGGUUGGCGUGUCUAGUGGCGCACGGGUGCGUAACGCGUGGGAAUCUGCCCUUGGGUUCGGGAUAACAGUUGGAAACGACUGCUAAUACCGGAUGAUGUCUUCGGACCAAAGAUUUAUCGCCCAGGGAUGAGCCCGCGUCGGAUUAGCUAGUUGGUGGGGUAAAAGCCUACCAAGGCAACGAUCCGUAGCUGGUCUGAGAGGAUGAUCAGCCACACUGGGACUGAGACACGGCCCAGACUCCUACGGGAGGCAGCAGGUGGGGAAUAUUGGACAAGUGGGACGAAAGCCUGAUCCAGCAAUGCCGCGUGAGUGAUGAA